AAUGAACGCUGGCGGCAGGCCUAACACAUGCAAGUCGAACGGAUCCUUCGGGAUUAGUGGCGGACGGGUGAGUAACGCGUGGGAACAUACCCAAAGGUACGGAAUAGCCUCGGGAAACUGGGAGUAAUACCGUUUGUGCUCGGAAGAGGAAAGAUUUAUCGCCUUUGGAUUGGCCCGCGUUGGAUUAGGUAGUUGGUGGGGUAAUGGCCUACCAAGCCGACGAUCCAUAGCUGGUGUGAGAGGAUGAUCAGCCACACUGGGACUGAGACACGGCCCAGACUGCUACGGGAGGCAGCAGGGGGGAAUCUUAGACAAUGAGGGAAACCCUGAUCUAGCCAUGCCGCGUGAUCGAUGAAGGCCUUAGGGUUGUAAAGAUCUUUCAGGUGGGAAGAUAAUGACUGUACCACCAGAAGAAGCCCCGGCUAACUCCGUGCCAGCCGCCGCCGUAA
rnacentral:rRNA from 1 species